GCCUCGGUAGUUUAGCGGAUAAAACACCUCCCAUCGGUAUGAUGUCGGGGUGUGCGUUGAGGAGACGAUCUGGGUUCGAUUCCUGGUCGGGGCA